rnacentral:ncRNA from 1 species
GAAAAGAUUAUGAUGAGGAAGAGUAUUUAAAGAUAUUAUUUAUAGAGAGCUAAGGGAUGGUGAGACUUAGUAAUAAUACUUUUUAGAAGCAGCCUUUGAAUUGCUUGCUGAGAACUAAGAGUUAUCUUAAUGUAGGUAAAGCCGGAUAUCCUAACGUUAUAAGGAAUGGAAUGCUGAUGUAUUCCUACUGAGUGAGUAAAUUUUUUUACUUAUUAGGGUGGUACCGCGAAAUUUUUAGCUUCGUCCCUUUC